CCCCGUGUAAAACUAGUGGAGUGGUUUAGAUUAGGUAACAUUUUCUCCAGAUAAUUCCGCUGUCUUAUGUUUAGGUAAACACCAUCCUUGUCAGUCGGUUUUCCAUUAAUGAAUUGCUUACGGUAAACAUUCUCCAAGUAUGAGCACCCCGUUGCAAAAUAGUCUCCAGAUUGGAAAAAAUGUUUAAAGUAAUCGCAUAACGUAGAGUUGAAUCGAGGAACAGUUAUUAAUCUGAUUGCAUUUGUUGUUGUAUUUCUCACGGUCUCAGUUUUGUAGAUGUUACUAGCAAUCGCUAGGGUGGCGACGGAAAGAGAGAACGAGACUAUCAAGCUGAUAAACUUCACUCUGCUCAAACAGGAACUCCUGUAUAAGGACACCUGACUAGAGCUAUUAGUAUAAUUACCAAUUGUAAUAGGAAUGGUGUUUCCAUCUAGUUCUAUAGAGUUUUGUCUUGAUGUCAUUGUCGUUAAAUAAAAAAAAGCAGCCUUUCCUUUUACACCGAUAUAAAACUUUUAAAUUUGAAGAAACAUGUUGGUUGGUUUUUUUUUUCAUCAGAAAAAUGCCGCAGGUAAAUACCACGUGGUUUUAAUGAUUGAUUGGUGACAUUAAUUGUUUUAUUGAUGAUAAUUUUAGGUUUGAGGAUUAAUUCCAUACAUUCCAUAGAGCUCCAUAAACUUAUAUAGGGGUUAUAGUUGUUCAUUCAUCCACUUUCCCCUACUACUGUGAAUGAUUUCAACUUUUUUCUCAUGAACUUUUUACUCUCUAAUGUGUAAUAAGUUUUUUGUUGUUCUGAUAUU
rnacentral:lncRNA from 1 species